AUGCAUUCUUAUAAACCCCCCAGUUGCUGUUUUUUUAGCUUUUGGGACAAGCAAGAAUGCCAGAUAAAAAUCUGGAAUCAUCCAAAGUGGAGGGUCUGAUUUCCUGUGACCCUUUGCUAUUUCACCUCCAGAACAUAC